rnacentral:ribozyme from 1 species
GGUUGCAAGCUCGGGGUCAUAGCAGAAGCACUCACAGCACAGCCCUGUCAAAUUCCAACGAAUCUGCAAAUUCUGCU